rnacentral:pre_miRNA from 1 species
ACCCGAAAUUUGUGUUAAUCGUUUGUUCUCAACAAGAACAUUCGAUUAACACCAGUUUCGGCU